GGGGGGUGCGGGCUCCCAAGAGGAGGGGCCGGGCUCGGAGCGGCGGCGGCGCGGGGUUGUUCCGGAAAGGGCUGGCACCGGGCCGGCCGAGGGGCCCCGGGAGGCCGUCUUAAGAAGUUGGUUUUAUCUAGGAGGCAGCGGAGGGUGGUCAACGGAUCCGGGCAGGGCAGGGUCAGAUGUGGGUCGCAGAGGCGGCCUGGCCGAGGCGGGGUGCAGAAGAACGGUCUGGAAGCUUUACAGCAGGUCAGCCCAACUCAGCAUUUCCAGCCACCUCCUGGGCGCGGGAGCCCAUCUUUCCCGCUCUUUGCAGCACCUGCCGUAUCUCUUUCUUUGUUGGCUCCUCCGCCACUGGCACAUGAAACGUGUUUACAUCUCUUGAAAAGAGGCCUUCGGUUCCUGCUGUCGCUCCUCCCUCUUGUCACCCUCCUGGCUCAGCUGGCGGUCCCCCCCUCCUUUCUGAAGCGCUCAUCGGGCACCGAGCUCCCGGGGCUGGCCGCACACUGGUCGCACUCUGCUGGGCAGCCAUUGGUGUCCUUGGGGUCUCAGGCGCUCGGCGCGGCAGCAGCUGCUAUUUCCCUGUCACCUCCCUGAGCUUUCCUGGAGUCCAUCUCUUGCCCACAGGCCCACUGCCCCCAGUGCUACCUCUUAGUGCCCGGGUCGUCUUCCUUAGGCACAACUCAAGCCACCUCACUUGCCUGCUUCGGGCCUUCCCGGGGGUUCCCCGAAGCCCUCCGCUGGGGUCCCAGCUCUUCCGCCCCGGCCCCCACUGCUGUCGUCACCCAGCCCCUUCCUGUCCACCUCUGUCUAGCGCUCGGCACACAGCAGCAGCCUGCAGCCAUCCAGAGCUCCUUAGGGUUCCGAGAAUGCGACCUGCCCUGCAGCGACCUGCCCUGCAGCUGCGUGGCCCGCACCAGACCAGCUGGAGCUCAGACAGCCCCCCGGGCGGAAGCUCGGCCGAGAGCUCCCUGGGCCCCUCAGGCGAGCCUCCCACAGCCCCUGCUUGGCCUGGCACCUCUGACGCGUCCUUCUUCAGCCUCUCCACUUGGCUGCCUCCCCCACCAGAUGGCAAAGACCCCCCCCCAAAGCAGCCAGGGUGACUUCGCCUUUUGUUUCUCCAGCUGCUUGCCCGCUUCAAAGGCAACAGGUCUUUGCUGACCCCCAAGGGCUGCUCACCCCUCCGCCCCACGCCAGGCGGCGUUCCCAGAAAACAGGUCUGCCCAAGACGGGCCUCUCCCCGAACGAUGCGGCCACCUCCAGCCACUCCCAAAGAGGAGGCCGGCCGCGCCCGGAGCCCCAGUGACUGACUCCCCACCAGGACAGCCCUAAGACUCCCCUUAACCACAGGGAACGAUCGUGCGCGCCCACGCCGAGCUCCAAGCGAACCAGGACUGGGGCCGACUUGCUCCCGCUACACUGCAGCUGGCUCCCGGGACAGCGGGCAGCGCUGGCCCCGAGGGAUGCUCAGCACACACCCACGGUGAACGUCGCCCCUUAACGUUCACGGACACGGCUUUGCAGCGCACCGCCUAGGAGG
rnacentral:lncRNA from 1 species